ensembl:lncRNA
AUGGCGAACGCAACAACUUCAAGAGCAAGAGCGGAGUCUUUCGUAUGGACUGACGACGAAGUCGAACUACUACUUAGAGUCACACUCGACUACAAGUCCACUAAGCUCCAAGAAAACAUUGACUGGGAGUCGUGUCACUCUAAAUAUUGUGAUAUAACGGACGCGUUUCAGGCACAGUAUCUGAGGGAGCUAACCGAGAAGGAUUUCCCUCACGAUGCUAGCAUGGUCUCAAAAGCCCAAGUCACCGCAAAGUUGAAAAAUAUACGCAGCAAAUACAGGCAUGCGGUUGACACAGGGCGUCGAAGUGGUAAAGGACGGGUAGUACUCAUAUUUUAUGAGCUUUGCGAGGAGAUCUGGGGUGGGUCGCCUGCUACACGCUCCAUCGACACCGGCAUCGAGACAGGUGACCUGGAAGAGUCGUCUACAUCGACAUCGACAGAGGAGCUGCCUUCCUAUUCUCCAAACUCCACUGAAUCCCUCGACUGUCUUCCAUCUGCGGUUGUAAAGCAGCGCCGGGAUUUGCUCCAGGCAAAGUUGAACAGCCAUAGAGGAGACAGGCUGAAGAGGAAGGUUCCCACCGAUCCGGCAGAGGAGGAACUUAAAAUAAAGAGGAGGAUGUUGGAGUUGAUGGAGGACUCUGCUAGACGCAACUCCGACAACAUGCUGCAGAUAAAUACAAACAUUGCUAACAUUACCAGCACAAUUCAGGAGGGUUUUUGCUUUAUGAGGGAAUUGUUAUUCCAACGGCAAUUUACACCCCCCCCCCACAGCAGCAGUGGUCAAUUCCAAGGGCACCCACCAUCAUUCAUGAACACAACACCACACCCUACUACACCAGCCUUCCUGCACACACCUCGGCCCGAUGAACCAGCAAACCAACCUCGACAGUACCGCCCUGAAUGUUACACACCUACACCACAUGUCACCCCACAUCAGCAAACAUCAUUUUAGUACAGACGUGCACUGCUGCAAGAUGACACAGAGUGACUGCCCUGUUGCACUAUAUAAUUCUUGAUUUUAUAUUGUUUGCACUGCACUUCAGUUCUGUGCACGGUUGCACUUUAUACAGUUAAUAACACAAAACAGUUGUAGUUGACAUGUUGUAUAUAGUUAUUGUGUUUUGUGCACUGUUGCACUUUAUACCUGUUCAAUAUUACCUGUUUUUUUCAAAUGGUUCUUUGACCUAAAUAUUUAUUUUCCAGUAAAAACAAGUUCUCGAAUUGUUGCAGUCAUUUAUUUUCACUAGACAUAUUCAAUACAAAACUUUCAAAAUAAUCAUUAGUACAUUUUCAAAAAGGUAAAUACUUUAAAAAAAACCUGAACAAAAUAGAAAAAAAAUUUGAUGGACAGCAUUUUUAAGGGUCAAGGUACUUUGUGAGUACUCUCCUCACUCUCUUUCCCUCUCCUUCAUUACAGUCUGUGAGGUAGUUGUUCCAUUGUGUAGGAGGCUGUAAGUCUUUAUCACCUUGCAUCGUUCCCAACACAGUGUGUUCAGCCACAGUCUCCUUACAGUUUUCACAAAAAUUGUGGAGAACAAAGCAGGCGUAAAUGACAAAGGGCAGGUCCUGCAAGUUGAUGUCCAUAGGCCUUUUCAGUGCAGCAAAUCUGGCUUUGAGACGACCAAAAGCACACUCAAUGACCAUCCGUGCCCUACACAAACUUAGCCCAAAGUACUGUUCUUGAGGUGUGGAGCCACCGUUUGCAUAUUCCUUCAUCAAGUAAGGCAGCAGAGGGUAGGCUGGGUCACCAAGAAGGUAAAGUGGUAUGUCCUCCUCGUUGUCCACAAUCUGUUUUUUCAGAGGAGGGAUCUGGCCAGUCUUAAAGUACAGGUUGAGCUUUGAAUUAGCAAAAACCUGUGCAUCGUGUACACUCCCGGGCCACUUUAUCACAACAUCCAUAAAUCUGUACUUAUAAUCACAGACCACCUGUACAUUGAGAGAAUGUUUGCCUUUCCUGUUGAUGUAGUCCAUCGAGUUGGCAGACGGCUGCUUGAUUUCUAUGUGUGUGCCGUCGACCGCUCCCAAACACUGUGGCAUGCCAUGAGCACGAUGGAAACGCAAAACCAGAUCCUUGGCCUCGGACUCCGUAAAAGGCAACUUGAUGUACUUUGGACCCAGGUGGACAGCGAUCGCUUUGCACGUUUGCCUGACAACAACAGACACAGCCUGUCUUCCUUAGCCAUCCCUCGUCGCUCAAAUAAUACAGAGUUAACGCAACCCUUUUGAGAGUAGUAAUUGGUGCCCUCAUGUUUGUUGUUUGCCCUUCAAUAUACGGACUGAGUUCCUCGCUCAGGGCGACAAGAGAUGCUUUGGACAUGCGGAAAUUCUCCCUCCAUUCAUCUUCCACAACAACGCCAUUGACAAAGUUGUCCCACCAACUGCUAGUUCUACCUGGUCUUAACCAAAAUUUUCUCCUGGUUGCUCUCCUGGUUGUCUUCCGCGGUGGAUCUAAGAGCAUGUGGCGUAUGGUGUUGUCCAUUAUCGCUUGUUGCUCACCACAAUUGCAUAGAAGCAAUAGAUUUUGCUGUAAUAAAGCUAGUAGGUUUAGUAGCUUCUGCAGCACGAACACAAUCAUGUAGUCCGCCAUUAUUGUUGUUGCUGUUACGUGUGACGCAGCCGACACGUGAUGUGAUGACAUCAUCGUUUCAGAAAAUACACGGAUUCGCUGUCUACACGAAAACGCAAAGACGGCGUUUUCAGAUUUAUCCACUCUGGGACCCGGUUUCAAAAAAUAGUGGUUUCACCUUCCGAAAAUGCCGGAUCCGUGUGGACAAAAUGCCCAUCCGAUAAAAAAUUUGUGCGUAUUCACAGAAACGCGUCUCCGUGUGGACGGGGCCUAAAUUUCAAUUUGUGACCAUGUGAGAAGUGCAGUCUCCUUAUGUAAUGUGUAAGGAGCACAGGCUAUUUUGACUACCACUCUGGCCCAACAUUGUAGAAUUACAACAUAGACUUAACAAGCUCUAAAUCAAAUUUGAUUAAUGUUUUCCAAAAUAACUAAAUAUGUAUGUGUUCUAGACAUUGUAAUAAACACAAUAUAUAUAUAUAUAUAU